UGGUAUUGUCUUCUCGGAGAGCAGGGGAUAUGAUAUGGAGACAUGCCUUGGAAAAAGCCCUUGCGUAGGUAGGGAAGGUGAGAACCUGUGGCGGACAGGAUUGGAAAAGCACACGUCUGACUUCGGCUCAGGUCAUGAUCUCG